rnacentral:rRNA from 1 species
GACGAACGCUGGCGGCGUGCCUAAUGCAUGCAAGUCGCACGCGCCACCUUCGGGUGGUGAGUGGCGCACGGCUGAGGAUCACGUGGGAACAUGCCUCCUUGUGGGGGACAACAGCGCGAAAGCGCUGCUAAUCCCGCAUACGCUCGUGCAAAGCGAGGAAAGCCGCAAGGCGCAGGGAGAGUGGCCCGCGGCCCAUCAGGUGGUUGGUGGGGUAANGGCCUACCAAGCCGGUGACGGGUAGCUGGUCUGUGAGGACAGACAGCCAGACUGGGACUGAGACACGGCCCAGACUCCUACGGGAGGCAGCAGCAAGGAAUUUUCGUCAAUGGGCGCAAGCCUGAACGAGCAACGCCGCGUGGUGGAUGACGGCCUGG